rnacentral:rRNA from 1 species
AUGUAUAGCAAUAGCUGAUUGCACCAACAAAUAGUUGAUGCAAUAUUGACUCUGUCAAAUAAAAUUCUAGGUAGAAUUAUGAUAAUGACAUUGUCUGCCUAUAUGUCUUGACCAAAUUACGUGCCAGCAGUCGCGGUAAUACGUAGAAGACUAGUGUUAUUCAUCUUUAAUAGGUUUAAAGGGUACCUAGACGGUAAAUCAAGCCUUCACAGGGACUAAUUUACUAGAGUUACUUACGAGGGGGUAUUAAAGUACUGCAGGUGUAGAGAUGAAAUUCUGUCAUACCUCUUUUCAAAAGAAAAAUUAUGGCACAGGUAUAGGUGAAAGCAUCCCCUUAUGUGAUAACUGACGUUGAAGGACGAAGGCUUUGUGUCGCGAACAGGAUUAGAUACCCCAGUAGUCAAAGCAGAAAAUGAUGAAUGUCAUAGAUUAGAUAAAUAGUUUAUUCUAUAAAUGAAAAUGUAAGCAUUCCACCUCAAGAGUAAUUUGGCAACAUUGGAACUGAAAUCAUUAGACCGUUUCUGAAACCAGUAGUGAAGUAUGUUGUUUAAUUUGAUGAUCCGCAAAAAACCUUACCACAAUUUGAAUAUUUAUAUCUAUCUUUUUUUUUCGUAAAAAAAUAAAAAGGUAAUAUAUUUACAAGCGUUGCACGGCUGUCUUCAGUUAAUGUCGCGAGACUUUGGUUAGUUCCAUUAAAUUAACGUAAACCCUUACUUUAUUUUUAUAUGAAGUAGUUCCCCGCUAUAUUGGAUAUGAUAACAGGGACUAAGACAAGUCAUCAUGGCCUGAAUGUUGU